rnacentral:tmRNA from 1 species
GCCGGUCGCAAGGCCGGCUAUGGCGAUACAGGGCCUCACGGAAUAAACGUAUCGGACCCGGGGGCAGUGCCCGGCGCCUCCACCA